GGUGUUGGUGUCAUGAUCUCAGGUCUGGAUUACCAGUCUUUUACAGGAUCUCUUCUGUAAAUUUAUAUUUUUCCUGAAAGACAUCUGAGCAUAAUAGUAAAGCUGGAUUUACAUAUACAAGAAUUGAAAUUUAAAAGGCAAAGCUGAAAGAUUUAAUGGACAAAUGAAAAAACCAGCUACCUAUUACUUUGGCCCACCUAUCCACAGCAUCAAACUGUGGUAACCAGAGGGAGAGGAAAAAGAGCUGGUAACCCCUAAUACCAAACUUCCCAUUUGGAGGUGUUUCAACAUCCUCUGACUUGCAGUGAUGCCUUCAUUGACCCAAAAAUGUGAUCAGCAUCAAAGGCUUGAAAUUCAGAUUAACCACUUUUUUGGAUCUUCACCUCCUUCCAGUUUGAACUUGGAAUCUCCUCCAUGCACAGAUCACUAAUGAGAAAAUCCUUGCUUAUGAAUUCAGUUCAGAAUGGGAGGUUUUUUUUUUCCUUUCCCUUUUGCAUAAUGUCCGCUUUGAAGUCAGGCAGUCCAAGGAAGUGAUUGAUCUCAACCAAGUUCAUAACUUUUUCAAAGUACUGCCGAUAUCAUUAAAUUUUAAUUAACCCUUUGAGCUCCUUCUAUGAUGUAAAGAUGAGGGAACAUCAAAGGUUUGUAUGUUAGAGCUGCAGUGGCAGCUUUUGUGCCCGCCUAGCUUUUUUGAAGCUGUCUAAGCGGCAAAUAUUUCAGCCUGGUCAUCAAGCUCAGUCCUUGUUAUCAACUCUGUUCUGCAGUGGCAAAGGUAAAGCUGCAUUCUAUAGUUAUCCUUUCAAUCAAUGCUAUUCAAGCGAUUGCAUCUUAAACACUCAUGAAUAAAAAUGAUAUUUCCCAACUA